rnacentral:rRNA from 1 species
ACUCCUACGGGGAGGCAGCAGUGGGGAAUAUUGCACAAUGGGCGCAAGCCUGAUGCAGCAACGCCGUGUGAGUGAAGAAGGUUUUCGGAUCGUAAAACUCUGUCCUAAGGGAAGAAACAAAUGACGGUACCUUAGGAGGAAGCCCCGGCUAACUACGUGCCAGCAGCCGACGGUAAUACGUAGGGGGCAAGCGUUAUCCGGAAUCACUGGGCGUAAAGGGUGACGUAGGCGGCUUAGCAAGCCAGGGGUGAAAGGCAUUGGCUACAACCAAUGUAAGCCUUUGGAACUGUUAGGCUUGAGUGCAGGAGAGGUAAGUGGAAUUCCUAGUGUAGAGGUAGAAAUUCGUAGAUAUUAGGAGGAACACCAGU